rnacentral:rRNA from 1 species
GACGAACGCUGGCGGCGUGCUUAACACAUGCAAGUCGAACGGUGAAGCGCCUUCCUUUUUGGUGGGUGUGGAUGAGUGGCGAACGGGUGAGUAACACGUGAGUAACCUGCCCCCUUCUUCUGGAUAACCGCAUGAAAGUGUGGCUAAUACGGGAUAUUCUGGGUCUGUCGCAUGAUGGGUCUGGGAAAGAUAUUGUUUCGGUGGGGGAUGGGCUCGCGGCCUAUCAGCUUGUUGGUGGGGUGAUGGCCUACCAAGGCGGUGACGGGUAGCCGGCCUGAGAGGGUGGACGGUCACACUGGGACUGAGCCACGGCCCAGACUCCUGCGGGAGGCAGCAGUGGGGAAUAUUGCACAAUGGGCGCAAGCCUGAUGCAGCGACGCCGCGUGAGGGAUGGAGGCCUUCGGGUUGUGAACCUCUUUCGCCAGUGAAGCAGGCCUGCCUCGUUUGUGGGUGGGUUGACGGUAGCUGGAUAAGAAGCGCCGGCUAACUACGUG